rnacentral:rRNA from 1 species
UACGUAGGGUGCGAGCGUUAAUCGGAAUUACUGGGCGUAAAGCGUGCGCAGGCGGUUUUGUAAGCCAGAUGGGAAAUCCCCGGGCUUAACCUGGGAACUGCAUUUGGGACUGCAAGGCUUGAGUACGGCAGAGGGGGGUAGAAUUCCUGGUGUAGCAGUGAAAUGCGUAGAUAUCAGGAGGAAUACCGAUGGCGAAGGCAGGCCUCUGGGCUGACACUGACGCUCAUGCACGAAAGCGUGGGGAGCAAACAGG